rnacentral:rRNA from 1 species
UACGGAGGGGGCUAGCGUUGUUCGGAAUUACUGGGCGUAAAGCGCGCGUAGGCGGAUCUGCAAGUCGGGGGUGAAACCUCGAGGCUCAACCUCGGAACUGCCUUCGAUACUGCGGGUCUCGAGUCCGGGAGAGGUGAGUGGAAUUCCUAGUGUAGAGGUGAAAUUCGUAGAUAUUAGGAAGAACACCAGUGGCGAAGGCGGCUCACUGGCCCGGUACUGACGCUGAGGGCGGCGAAAAGCGUGGGGGAGCAAACAGG